ACGCUGGCGGCGUGCCUAACACAUGCAAGUCGUACGAGAAAGUCGGCUUCGGCUGAUGAGUAAAGUGGCGCACGGGUGAGUAACGCGUGGAUAAUCUGCCCUUUAGUUGGGAAUAACGUACCGAAAGGUGCGCUAAUACCGAAUAAUGCUGAGUGACAUCAGUUAUUUAGCCAAAGAAGGCCUCUGCUUGCAAGCUUUCGCUGAAGGAUGAGUCCGCGUACCAUUAGCUAGUUGGUAGGGUAAUGGCCUACCAAGGCGACGAUGGUUAGCUGGUCUGAGAGGAUGAUCAGCCACACUGGAACUGAGACACGGUCCAGACUCCUACGGGAGGCAGCAGUGGGGAAUAUUGGACAAUGGGGGCAACCCUGAUCCAGCGACGCCGCGUGUGUGAAGAAGGCCUGCGGGUUGUAAAGCACUUUUAGUGGGGAGGAAGGUCUGCGACCUAACACGUCGUGGAAUUGACUUAACCCACAGAAAAAGCACCGGCUAACUCUGUG
rnacentral:rRNA from 1 species